CCCUCCCCCGCCCACCCAAAGUAAGAAGUAAAGCAAAGAAAGCACACAGUAACUUCUUCAACAUCCCCAAAGAAGUACACAGUGGCAGUUGUCUCGUUUACAUGGAGACAAACUCUUCAAUUUGCCAUUCUCCCCACCGCUCCCUGUUUCUAACACCGGCCUGCUAUCUUAAUUCACAUCAUCUCGCUACAUGAGAGCAAGAAGCGAAGAUCUGUUUCUAAACCUGUAUAAAGGCAUUUCCCCCAAAGGAUAAGUAUGUGGAGUAGCCUAGGAAAAUCAAACUACCCUCAAGUGAACUUUACAAGGAGACAGAGAAACAUGAAGAUCUCAGUCAGGAGUCUGUGGUGACAAUAACAAUCCAAAGGUGAGAUUAUUAAAAACUGAGGAGAUAAAGUUCCCUUGACUAGAACACACUCCAAAUUUUAAGACAGAAGCACAGACGGAAAACCUUUGGUUUCAUAAUGAGGAAAAUCAAAUACUGAUGUCCCUACAUAUGAGCCAGGCACAGUUCUUGAUACAGAAAAUAGUGCGGAGAAUAAAAUACAUAAGCAUUCCUGCCUUCAUGAAGUUUACGUUCCAGUGGAGAGGAGACAGACAAUAAACCAAGCUGCCGGCAGCAAGCAUCUUUCAGAGCCAAGCACGAUGUCCCAUUUGCUGAGGUUUAUGGGAGAAAGCAGAUGUGAAACUUCCCCCGGAUGCAGUCCUAUGAAGAUGCGAGGUCUCUCAACCCCUAACUUGCUGCCAAAAGGGGAUCUAGCCUGGGGAUAAAGCCUGCACCAGACGGAUCAAAAGGGAGACAACAUUGGAACCCUACAACAAACCACGAGUAAAGCCAGAUUUAGGACCAACCACCACUAGGUCACUGCAAGCCAACUGCUGGAAUGUCCAUCCUUUGUGGCAAAAUUAGCCCAUGUUUUCUCUCCUCUUCAAUGAUGUCCUUUCAUUGCUUCCUCCAGCAUGAGUAGGAGGUUCAGGUGGAGAGACCGCGAACACUCCUUAAAAUACUGUUAGAAUGCAAAAUGAAAAUGGUUCCAUAAAGUCUAAAUAGUAAAAAGAAAAAUAAUUCUGGCGAACUGUUGAUAAAUUUGCUUGCUUCCCUUGAAGUUGGCUUUGCCAACAGAAUUUUCAACUAUGUGAGCUAAUAAAUUCCCUUUUAGCCCAAAGGCGAAUUUGACUUAGCUUUCUGUCAUUUCGGUUCUAACUAAUGGAAGGCUAUGUCACAAAGAAUCCUGAAGGCUAAACUACAGUCGUGACAAGUGAGAGUACAAUAAAGAACAGAACGUGCCGAAUUCUUGUAGCUGAUGCUGAAUGAGUGUGAACAAAGAAGGACACCAGGGGGAGACAUUUGAAGCAUAUAGGGAACCUGACGACUGAGAAACCCGUCUAAAUCAAUACUUAGAAGUCCAAGGCAUCAAAACGUCUUCAUAAUUGGCCCAGUUAAUAUUUUUAUUCAGGAGAAAGGAACAAUUACUCUGUACUUAGUUUAUUUUCUUAGCUCCAUCCAUCUUUGUUGUACAUGAUUUCCCUUUUUAAAUUGAUGUUUAGACUUCCAGUAACACCGAUAACUUCACUUCUCUCUAGGUGUCAGAAUUUUUUCAGAUAUGCCCCUCACUAUAAAUAGAGGACCUUUGGGGCACCUGGGAGGCUUAACAGGUUAAACGUUCGACACCAGCUCAGGUCAUGAUCUUAAGGUUGGUGAGUUCAAGCCCCAUGUCGGGCUCUGUGCCGACAGCUGGGAGCCUGGAGCCUGCUUCGGAUUCUGUGUCUCCCUCCCUCUCUGCCUCUCUCCCAC